rnacentral:rRNA from 1 species
UACAGAGGUCCCAAGCGUUGUUCGGAUUCACUGGGCGUAAAGGGUGCGUAGGUGGCGGGGUAAGUUUGAUGUGAAAUCUCCGGGCUUAACCCGGAAAUGGCAUUGAAUACUAUUCUGCUGGAGGUUUGGAGGGGGGACUGGAAUUCUCGGUGUAGCAGUGAAAUGCGUAGAUAUCGAGAGGAACACCAGUGGCGAAGGCGGCUUUCUGGCUGUUCUUGACGCUGAGGCGCGAAAGCGUGGGGAGCAAACAGG